AAAAAGACCAGAUGUGGAGUUUUCCUAGAAGUGGUGACCACUUCAACAAAGUUAUACUAAAAUUUGAUCGUCGUUUCUCGCUUCCUCUGAGAAUCGCCAGAAGAAUUUGCCACCAACGUUGAAGAGUCUUCGAGGAAAAGAGGCCAAGGUGAUGACACAAGAGGCCGGAUUUCAAAGGGCGCAACUUGGCUAAUACCGCAGUGAAUGACUGAGUGGAUGGUCCCUAUUGUGGCUAGUAGUGCAAUCAUUACCGGAGAAAUGGCCGAACGGAAGUGCGAUACUGCGGAUGAGCGAAUUAAUGGUAGUGUAGUGGCACAGGAGUCAAAAAACAACGCGAAUCUAGAGCGACUCAUGUUAUUGUUUUGCCUCGGGGCAUUGACACAGCCUUGACGCAGAAAACGUAAUGACAAAUAAACCCCGGGCAAAACAAUCUCGCCACUACAUGCAACCGUCGAAUGAAGACGAAUUAAAAUUUUCUGACUCCCCCCCGACCUGGAUAAAUAAACGGAUACGAUCGCGAGCGACAUAGUAUCUCCGAGUAUCUAACAGUAUCUCACAGUAUAUACCGAGUGACACAAAUUAGCGAUCAAUAUCUACGAAUCGGGUUUCCUGCGAGCGAACUUAUAUUAUCGUUGCGAAUUCAGUGAACGAGCGUCUUUUGUACCUUUAAUUAUUUAUUUGUUUAACUUAUUCGAAAUAUAGUUGACGGGUUGCGACAGCAA